rnacentral:tRNA from 1 species
GGGGCUAUAGCUCAGCUGGGAGCGCCUGCUUUGCACGCAGGAGGUCUGCGGUUCGAUCCCGCAUAGCUCCACCA